GGCUGCCGGUGGGGGUGAGCAAUGGGGAGACUGGUGGAGACCCCCACAUCGAUACCCAGACCUGGAAGAGGAAAAGUAGCCGCCGAGGUGAGCGUUUUGAGUUCCCAGCAGUGGAGGAUGAUGUGAUCUACGAUGAUGUCCCCUGUGAAACCCUCGAUGCUGAGCAGGAUGGCCCGGGGACGGAGCAGAACCUGAUCUACGAGGAGGUGCAGCGUGGUGAGGGGCCACGGGCGGGCGAGGAUUUGGGCUGGAGCUCCAGUGAGUUCGAGAGCUACAGCGAGGACUCGGGGGAGGAAACCAAGCCAGAGGCCGAGCCAGCCAAGCAGCGGGCAUCCUUCCAG